rnacentral:lncRNA from 1 species
CCCACUUCCUGUGCAGAAAGUACCCUGUCACAGAGGCUUGAAGGACACAGAUCAAUCAAACUUUCAGAGAAAGCUUUCCAAAAAUUUUAACCAUGAUUUCAGCUAUGUCCCAAUCUUACAAAACAAGAAGCACAAUGCAGUGUGGAGGCAAGGAAUAGGAAAAGUCAAUGGUGGUGGGAUUUGCUGUGUGAGAAGACACACACACACACACACACACACACACACACACACACACACACACACAAAUAAAAGAGGAAGGAAGAUGGGGGCACAGGAGUUGUGGGUGAUGAGGGAAACAGGUUUGAAUUGUGGAUUGCUACUACCAUGGCUGGCCACACACAUUCAUUCUCUGGAGUAAUCAUGAAAUGUAGAGAGAAAAUGCAAAGCAAGGAAGGAUAAACACUUUGGUGGAAAAGGACAUUUAAUAGGAAGAAAUGUCUAUAAAGGGGUUUAAAAAUAACUUUUCCUUCUCGAAAAUCUGCUGUUUCUUUACAGAUCUCAGCUCAGAGCAAGGUUCCCUUUGUCCUGGACUUCUCUGUUUUCUGAACUCAAGAUUAAACACACACACACACACACACACACACACACACACACACACACACACACACACACACACCUUGGAAGCAAUUAAUAAGCAGCUUGUAUAACACCCACAUGAUGAGCACUGUCCAGUAGCAGCUAAAUUCAGUGAAGUAGACGAAUGUAUUAACAAGGAAAACAAAGUUCCAAAAUGUUUAAUGGGAAAAAAAUCCUUCAGGAUGAUGCAAAAUUCCAGAAACAUAUCAUGCAUUGAAAGAUUAAAAUCCAGAGUUAAUAAUUUUCAUGAAAAAUCGUAAAUAGCAAAUGCAUGAUAUAGAGUAUCUUUAGGGAGAUAGUAAGGAGAACACAACUGGGUUGAGGUGUGUGGAAGAGAAGACAUUUCUGUUUGUAGUUUUGUGUUACUGCCUUUCUUCUCUGUUAGAAACAGAAAAUUUCCCAGCAUUCUAAAAGGACUCAUGGCUACCUAAAGAUGUAAUUAUUUUUUCCAGCUUCCCUUGCAGCUAUGCAUGGUCCAGGACUAAAUCCUUGCCAAGGUAAUGCAAUGAAAAUGUUCCAUUUCUUUAGAGGAAACUUGUUUUAGUUCUCUAUCCCUUCUCCCAUGUGCUAGAAUAUGGAUGAACUGCUAGUAGUCCAGCCUCAACUCUCAGCCCACAAAUGUUAUCCAAACGGAAUUUAAGAGUCUAGUUUAUAUUCCCAUGGUUUGUCUCUCUCAUCAAUUCACUCAGCAAGUAAUUACUGAACACAUACUAUGUACGGCAACCUAAGUGAGGUAUUAGGGACAUGGUGGUAAGGAAGCUCCUGAUGGAGCAUGUGUUUGAUCCUAAAAUCUCUGCACUUGAACUUGCUCAUGAGCAGCCUCUGUGUCCCUUCCGUGUGUGUGUGUGUGUGUGUGUGUGUGUGUGUGUGUGUGUGUGUGUUCAUGUGUGUGGGGUGAGUAUGCAUGCAUGUAUGCAGGUGUGUAGGCACACAGCAUGUGGGUAUGAGUGCCUGUAGGUGCACAUAUAUGUGGAGGUUGAUUCUAAAAUCAUCCUCAAUUGCACUUCUACCUUAUUCAAUGAGAAGCAGGAUAGCUCAGACCGACCCAGAGCUCACCAAAGCAGCUGGUUUCACUAGCCUGCUUCCUCCUGGGAUUCCUUGUCUCAGAGUUUUACCUUGUGAGGUUGGAAUUACAGGCAGCUGCCCCACCUAUCUGGUAUUUAUAUGGGCUCUGGGAAUCCCAACUCCAGUCCUCACACUUGGAAGGACUUAACUACCGAGCUUUCCCCAGCCCAGUUUCUAUUUUUAUUCUAAACUUAACUCGUGUUGAAAGAACACUGCCCAGGGGCACUGAUUUCCACUGAUUCAACCCAAUUAAAACAAUUCAGACUGAGUUUUUGAGGAGGACUUUUGGGAGUUUUUUUUUUUUUUUCAAGAGUUUUAAAGUUUGUUCUGAUUCUUUAAGAAGGUAUUUGAUUAUUAAGAAAUACGUAACACACAAAAGUGAGUAAAAGUCGUCUGAAUGGAGAAGAAUAAGAAAAAUGAGCAGUAAAGAGUCUAUGAAAGAGUGAGAAGUGACCGGUUACGAGAGACUUAUCAGGUAGUAUACAUCUCUCAAGUACCACCCCAGCCAUCGAUACUGUUGGGUGCAUGAUUUGAUUUAUGUGGUAGUAACCAAUUAAUUUUUACUGUUAUAUUUUAUUUUAAUCAGGUGAACAUUGUCGUAGGGUUUCUGUUGUGGUGAUAAAUACCAUGACUGGAAGCAACCCUGGGGAAAAGGUGUUGUUUCAGCUUCCAUGUCUUGAUCACACUCUCACUAAGACAAGCCAGUGCAGGAACUCAAGGCAGGUACCUGGAGGCGGGAGCUAAAGCCAUGAAGGAGUGCUGCUUACUGGCUUGCUGCUCAUAGCUUACCCAGUCUAUCUACUUUCUUACACAACUCAGGAUGACCAGCCUAGGAAUGACACCACCCGCAGUAGGCUGGACCAUUCCACAUCAAUCAUCCAUCAAGAAAACAUGUCACAGACUUGCCUACAGGCCACUAUUACAGAGGGAGGCAUUUUCUUAACUGAGGUUUGCUCUUUCUCACAUAACUGGCUUGUGCCGAGUUGACAUAAAACUAGCUGGCAAAAAUAUAUUGCAGUUUGUUUAUUUCUCUGCAGAGGGUCAGUGAGGUCAUUUUCUGUUGACGGCUGUGAAGAGCAAUCUUGUGAAAGAUCAUUUCCCUUGCAGGUUAGAGUUUCUCCCAGGUAUUUAGGAAGUGCUUAGGAAUAGAGUCCUAGGGGUGUGGGGCCUGUCUGCCCAAUCCUGCUUCCUAACAAACGUCAAGCUAACUCUGGCCAGGUGGUUGGAUGUCUUUAGAUUGUCACCAGCAGUGUGUAAGAGUCAACACUUUGACUUUGCUGAAAUUGUAAUGUUUCCAUUUAAAUGUUCAUGGACUACUUUCUUAUUGUGGUUCUAAUUUAUGGUUUUGUAUCCCCCCUUUUCUUUUUUUCUGAUCACCUUAAGGUUAGGCAGCUUUGCACAUAAACUGGGUCAUUUGUGGUACCUUAUCUAUGAGAUGCCCGUGUUUUCCCUUUUCAAAGUCGUGUGUGGGGGAGCAUGUGUGUGUGAAGUGCGAUUUUUGUGUCCACUUUCCCUUUUCAAUUCUGGGAUUUUGUCUGGUUUGAACCUGUGUUUGGGUCUUGUGUGUGCUGUCAGUCUCCAUGAGGGGAUAGGUACAUCAGGCCUAUUGUGUCUGGAAGCCAAAGUCAGUUUUUAUUUUAAUAUGAUGACAUGUCUUUAUAUUAUGGGGUUUAUUGUUAGGGAAAAUCUCUGUACUUUGAGGUUUAAAAGCAUUCUAUAUCUUAUCCUACAGUUUCCAUGAUUUGACCUUUCGAAUUUGUCUUACAUCUAAAAGCAGUAACUGAUUUUUAUAUACAAUAAGGGUUAAUCAUUAAACCUAUUUAUUGUCUUGUAGAUAACCAAUUAUGUUCUUCAGAACAGUAGGGCAGGGAGCAGGGAGAACAAGGCUGAACUGUCAUGACCCCUCCUACUGAUCUCUAAUUCCUGCUUCAGAUUUUUUGAAUGAGAUUAUUUUAGAGUUCAAAUUUGUUCAUUACUCAUCUUAUAUAAUGCCAAUAAUACACUGUCCCUUUAUAGGGAAGUGCUUAGGAAUAGAGCAGGCCCAUCUCUCCAAUUUUAUCCUCCAAAGGUCAUGACAUGCAUCCUAUAGGCUCAGGCCAGCACCUACUUCACACUUGCCACAGGUCUGGGCCUGGUGUCUUCCCAGCAAGUGAGCUGUGUUCUCAGCCCUGAGCUUCUUCAGCCAAAACAGGCAAAGCAUCAGCUCUUUCUCUACCUGUUUUUCUACUCAGGGCACUGGUUAGGGAUCGUCAAUCUGACACAAUGCUCAGGGUGCUGGUUAGGGAUUGUCAACCUGACACAAUGCUCAGGGCACUGGUUAGGGGUUGUCAACCUGAUACAAUACUAAGCUGCUGGUUAGGGGUUGUCAACUGACACAAUGCUCAGGGUGCUGGUUAGGGAUGGUCAACCUGACACAAUGCUCAGGUUCUGGUUAGGGGCUGUCAACCUGACACAAUGCUCAGGGUGCUGGUUAGGGGCUGUUCAACCUGACACAGGCUAAAGUCACAUGGGAAGAGAGGCCCUCAAUUGAGCCACUGCCCAGAUGGUAAGUCUUUGAGAAAUUGUAUUGGUUGAUAACUGAUGUGGGAGGGGCCCUGGCCACUGUGGGAAGCACCAGUCUUACAUAGGUAGUCUGGGCUAUAGAAGGAAGCUAGCUGAGCAUGGGCCAGAGAGUAAGCCAUCCAGUGGUGCUCCUCCAUGGUUUCUGUCUUCUGGGUCCUUGAGUCCUGCCUUGAUGUCCCUCAGUGACAGACAGUGACCUGGAAGUGUAAGACCUCCAGACAUCUAUGGUUAACUAGUGGCUAGCUCUACCCUGUGAUCUCCAGGCAAGCUUUAUUUGUCAGAACACGAAACACCACAACAAUAAGGAGGAAAGAUCUUGCUUCUUGGUAUUUAUGCCGAAGUACAUAAAGAAUGCUGGGGAGCCCUCGUUCUCAAAAACUAAGCAGGCUUUUAGCUGUUGGGAUCCCAUAAAACUCAAAAGGACAAAUAUGACCUACACUUGUUUUGCUGAAGCCAAUUUUCACAACCUGGUAUUUAAGUUGAGCUCAGGGACAUUUGAGUAAUCCCACAGGCUCUCUGGGCUCUGGUAUUCAUCUGCAUCUUAGUUUUCUGCUUGGGGAUUUUGGAUCACAACUGCCAACCUGGGAAAACCACAUCACUUACACGAGAUUAAGCAGUCCCUAAUUAGUUUUCCUGACCCUCUUGUAUACCAAUAAAUGGCCCAUUUACAGGACAUUAAAACAGAAUUCUUUCCAUUAAAAAUGACUUCCUUGCUAGUGAACAAGACCUAGGUUUAACACACAUGUUAGUUAACAUGAGGUUGUCCUAAUGUACAGUGGACACUUUCCAGUGGGAAGUGAUUGGAGGACUAAUUAGGAUUCUUGGCUCGGUCAAUUAACUGGGAGGGGAGUCUCUCUACGGUGAUGUAAAUAUUGCUUAUAUUCUUAGUUUGUUUUGGGCCUAUUACGUUUUGAACCAAAGAGCUAGAGACUGAAGUGAAAUCCUAUUACAAGCUUUGGAAAAUGAUGAGCCUAAAAAGGCAUUUUAUAUGACAUCAUCAGGUCAGUUUUAAAGUUUUAUUUAGAUAUGCAAAUGCAGUAGCCACUUCUUUUGGAUUCUGACGCACACCUCAUCCUAUCGAAAGCACUGUGAGUCCCUUGGUGUGCAUAGUAGGCAUCUCAUGAUUAGUCUAGGGAACUGCACUAUUUUGAGGGGUGAUUGCUGUUUAUAGCACUAAGUCUGUUUUGCCUAAGAAAGCCAAUUACAGAACAGUGAGAACAUAUGUAGAGAAGAAAGAGCUUAGCUAGGAGGGCGAAUCUCCACUUCCCCUUCCUAAGGGUGUUUGUGGGGUAAAGAAAAAGGGUGGUAUGGGCAUUGAGAAAGGUAUUUACAAGUGAGAGAAAGCAAGAUUUGAUGUCAGCCGGGGGAGGGGGGUGGUAUCUGUGGCACCUUUCUAUACCCGUGCUUUGAAAUGCCCCAGCUAAGCACAUUUUAUAGAUGACUGUUUGCUCUUCAGCAUCCAAACACUGUCACUGGACAUUUGCACAGGCCUGGGUGGUGGAUUUUUGGUUUCAAAUCAGGUUGGAACUCCCUUUGAGUUCCUGAAAGCAAUUAAGCAGCCGUGAUGAUUUCGACCCAGACACUUGGGAGUCAUUUCCAGGUGGGUGAGUGGCCUUGUUUUGUGGCUGCCAUUCCUAGCCAGAUUUCCACACCAGCAGGUCAUAAGUCAAUAUGAGUUACAGUAAAGGAUGGGGGAGGUGACUCUGAAGACUCUCGGGAACCCGGGUUCCUGACCAGGAAAAGAAGGAUGCCCCGAAGGAAGGGGAUUCCUUGUCUUUGGUGUGCUGUGGGAACUUAAAUAGGCACCCGUAGCCAUGACUUUGACCUGAGGUGUCCCAAGAAAGCAAAACACCAGUUUGGUUUCUACAUAGGGAAACUAGAAUAGGUGAGUGAAGAAAGAGAUACAAAUUUCAAUAUGACCAUAGGACCAAUUCAAGCAGUUGGCUCUCUGCAAUAUUUUGAACACGAAAUACCCUCAAAGUCAUACACACACAGGCAUGUGUUGCUGUUUGAUUCCAGCUGGUGGCACUAUUUAUGAUGGUGAUGGAAAUGAUAGGCUACAGGGCCAACCUGGCUGAGACAGGCCACUGGAGCAGUGUCCACAGACCCUUGCUUGACCUCGCCUGGCUGCUCUAAGUUGGGAGAACCGCUAUCACUAUCUGUUCUCUUGCCAUGGUGUUCUGCCCAAGCGUCUAGGACCAGAAAAAGAAACAGGUAGGAUCUUGUGAGACUGGACAAGUAGCUCUCCUGUGGAGAAGAUUUGAAGGUAUCUUAAUAAUAUAAGAGAGCUUUCUAAUGUUGGUGGGCUAGAACAUAGCUGCACAGCACUGGGUACACUUUGUAAGACUCAGAAACUCUGUUCUGGUGACCUAUAAAUAAAGUACUCUAGAGGUGGGAUCAGAAAUUCAAGGUUAUUUUCAGUCACACAAUGAGUUUGAGGCCAGCUUGGGAUCACAAGGCAUGUUCUAAGGAAAAACAAAACAGCACAAAGGAGAAAGGAAGAAGGAAAGAAAGAUUGAAGAUGGCUCUAUCUUCUACAAAGAGAUACUUUACAGACAACAUCUAUAGAAACUCAGUCAAUCCUUUACCUGUUUUCUCCAUCUGUAGCCAAACCAAGAACCUCUUCCCUGCAAUAGAUCAGUGGUACUCUGGUGUAGUCUAGUCAAGAUCCAGACGACCCCGAGCUCUGAGUUAUUAUUGUCCUUCCGUGAUUGCUCUGCUGGCAGGGGUGUGUUCACUGGAAAGUGAUCUUUCCAGUCAUGCAUGGCACAUGCAUUCUGUGCUCCCUUGAGUAGCAGCAUCACAGCCCUGAUUGUGGUUUGGUGUGUGGUCCAUGAAUCACACUUUGUGCUUGGACAACAGAAGCACAACCCCCUUCUGGAGCCCAGCAGAGAGAACCAGCUGUUCAAACUCUGGCCCUGUCAAGGGGCAGAAACUGCUCCAGGUUCACUCCUGGUGAAUGUUGCUUUGUUUCCAGAGUAAACUCAGCCCACCACUGUGUAUUUCCAAACAGUAGUAGAAGAAGGGCUCCAUCUCCUCCAUCUUCCCAGACCUACAGGAGCUCAGUUUCAAUAUUCAGCUUCAUGCUCAACUGGCACAGAUUGGCAAGCCAUGCCUGAAAGUCACCAUCAUCUUUGGGUUUUGCCAUAGUUAUUAUGUAUUUUUCCUCCAAGUUGUGUGCAUGCCCUUCAGGUUGCUUUCCUUCCAGCAGUCUAUAGAGAGGCUGCAGAUAAGGUUUCUGUGUGCCUCCCCACUCAUCACAACAUUUUCCAUCCGUCCUGAUUCAGUUCUAAGCCUCUCUUGAUUAAAGGAUCUUUGUUGUACUCUUAAGUUUUUUGAUUAAAAUGGAAUUAAAUUGUAAAUCAAUUCCACUAUUUUCCCCAAUGUCUUUCAUCUCUCCAGCUCUUUCCAUAUGAACAUCCCAUCACAUGCUGCCUAAUUCAUGGCCUAUCUAUCUAUCUAUCUAUCUAUCUAUCUAUCUAUCUAUCAUCUCCUGCUCAACCACAAGGACAUGUUUAAAGAAAGCAACAGCAAUAACCAACCAACCCUCUGACCACUGAGUAGACUUGAAGUUAUAGGAUGUUGCUAUGAUGAUGGUUACUCUGAUAGACAGGAUUAUAUAUUAGCCUAUGCCUGCUUGAGUUGUUCUGUACCAACCCAAUUCUCACCUUCUGUCUUUCUUUCUGGACAGAGAAACCCCCAAAAUAUCCCAGCUGGUCACAAGCCUCUACCAUAGACAGUCUCUUGGUCGAAUGAUGCUUCCAAUUGGAUUAGUCUCAUCAGGAGCAAGGAUGUGUGUCCUGGGACCCAAGUUUCAAAGCAUCUACAUGGUGAGAACCAAUGCUAUGUGGGGGACUUUGGUUUUCAAGCUGUUCGGGAAAGGAGUUGCUGCUGAAAAGGAGAUUCUCAUCUCAUUCAGUCACAUGAAGUCUGUUCUGGAAGUCAGGCUUAUAUCUCUUUACAGAAUAAUGCAGUAGACAAGAUGAAUGCUCUAUUGGUGUAAAGCAGGCCCCUGAACAUGGGAGUACACAGGUUGGAGAAUGUGACAUUUCAAUGUUCUUCUGAUGUUCCUGUGUGGCAGAAGAGCGCCAUUGUUUCUCUCUGUGUUAAAGAUGUCCUUAUCCAUUCAUUCAGUCUGCUACAACAAAACCCUGGAGGCAGGAGCCUUCUAACCUAUGGACUCUCAUUUCUUACAGCCCCUGUAGGCAGAAGGUUAAUGAAAUCCCACAAGGAUGCACCAUAAAUAUACACAGUAAAUAUCAUUUUAUACACCCCAGUAUAGGCCAUAUACUUAUUUUCUGGAGAGCAGUGAAAGGUAAGUACAAAAGGCUCCAGACAAACACGAAUUCUGAGCUCAUGUGAGGUUGAAGCCAAAUCACUCGGGUCAAAGGGACAGUCUACAGAGGAAGGUAGAAGAACAAGUCUAACUGGGCCAAUGCUGACUCACAGAGGGUCCUGUGGGUUCAUGCAGCCAAGCUGGGGUCACCUGUCGAGUCUCCUGAAAGUAUAUCUGAGAUGGAUAGAUAGGCUAUAAUGUUGGCAGAGGCCCAUUGUUGGUUCUGUGACCUGUGGUGUAGAAUCUAUUAGGAUAGGAAGGACGCUUCGGGAAUUUGUGUAUCUGCCCCCAUCGUUUAGCUAAUAGAGUGAGUCAGCAGGAAUGUUCUAUCCCCAAACGAAUCACAGAGACUGGCACUUGUAUUAGCUACUUUUUCUUGUUGAUGUUUCAAGAUCCCUGACUGAAGCAAUUCAGGAACGAUCCAUUGAGGUAAAAGGGAUACAGUUUGUUAUGGUGGGGGAAGAAUACAGCUGGAGAAUGGGGUAGUUAUUCCUAUUGUUUCUACAGUCACUAAGCAGAGAGAGGUGAAUUCUUGCUUUCUCCUUCUUCCCUUUUUAUUCACUUCAGGAUGCCAGCCCAUUGGAUGAUACCACUAUGCACAGGGUGGGUCUUCCCGCCAAAGUAAAUCUCUGUAGAAAUGACAACCAGACAACUCAAAGAUGUCUCUGCUAGGUUAUUUUAAAUGCAGUUGGCUGACAAUGAAGGUAUGCAUUACACUAAACUUAAGGGCGUGAAGGCAGUCUCCUCGUGUCUCCACUCUCCCCCUGUUCUGCUUGCCCCUUCACCCUCUGCAGAUAGAGGACACAAGAGGAUCACUGCACAUUUAAUAUCCCCGUGCCUGUGUACAUGACAUAUACAGACGGUCUCCAAGCCAGAAGCCACUGGGUUUGUACACUGCACCAGAGACUGGAGACAGUGAGAAUAAUACUAGGAAAAUGAGGAAAGAUCAUCUGGGGUAGAUGUUCGAGAGGGGCACAGGUGACCAAGUGUUUGUUUCACACGUGGGAGGCCACCAGAAACCAUCUGCUUCUGCAGAAGCCACAAGAACCCAGGUGGGUGUGUGGCUUUGUUUUAUCUUUGUUUUUGCUUUUUGGGUUUUUUGAGACAGGGUUUCUCUGUGGCUUUGGAGGCUAUCCUGGAAAUAGCUCUUAUAGACCAGGCUGGUCUCGAGCUCACAGAGAUCUGCCUGCCUCUGCCUCCCGAGUGCUGGGAUUAAAGGUGUGCGCCACCACCACCCAGCAAAAAACUGUUAGUGCUCUCAUUUCUAGCUGGAUUUCCACACCAGAAGGUCAUCAGGGAAGAUGUGUUACAGUAAAGACUGGGGGAGGUGACUCUGCAGACUCUCAGGAACCUGGGUUCCUGACCAAGAAAAGAAGGAUGUCUCGAAGGAAGGGGAUUCCUUGUCUUCACUUGGGCCUUUGGUGUACUGUGGGAAUUUAAGCUGGCUAUUGUAGGCACCAUCUUGGCAAGUGACUGGAGACCUUCCCAAGGGCACGAUAGACCUCUUGAGGGCAGAAACACCAUCAGUCAGAUUUCUGCAUAGGGCAAUUAAAAUGGGUAAGUGAGGAAAGGGAUUUGUAUUUCAAUAUAUCCAAAGGACAUGUUAAAGAAGUUGGACCUCUGAAACAUUUUGAACAUCAAAUAGUCCCACAGGCAUACACACAGUCGCGUGUUGCUGUUUCGUCCAGGCUGGUGGCAGCAUUUUUGGUAGUAAUGGAUACUUUGGGAGGUGGGGCCGAGACAGGCCACUGGAGUGGGGGCCACAGACCAAUGUUUGCUCUGCCCUCAUUCCUGUCUGCUGUAAGGCUGCUGGGAAGCUCAAUCUCUACCUACUUCUAUUGAUGCAGUGUCUGUCCAAGCUUCUACACCAGGUGAGCAGGAUUUGAACCCUGUGAAACUGUCACCUAAAACAUCUUUCCACUCCUAGACAAUCCUCCCAGGUGUCUGGUUCGUAGCUAUAAACCCCUUUCUAAGUUGCAGAAGAAGAAACAGGCAGGAUCUCGAGAGACUGGACAAGCAGCUCUCCUCUGGAGAAGAUAUGAGGAUAUCUUAAUCAUAUAACUGUAACGAUAAGUCUUUACUCCAUCCGCCCAAGCCCCGCCACCACGUGGGCGCCCAGAAUAACACACAGAGUCUUAUACUAGUUUACAACGCUGCUGGCCAAUUGACUAGGAUUUCUUACUUGCUAGCUCAGUCUUAAGUUUCAACCAUAAAAACUCAUCUUAUCGGACACCAGCUGCAGGUGUCUUCUCUUGCAGGGAUCACAUGGUGGCUCCAUAGAGAAGAGAGCAGGAGGAAGAGGAAGAGCAAGAGAGAGCUAUUUCCUGUUUAUAUUCUGAGUCUGACUGCUAUGUCACUUCCUGCUUGGAUCUUUACUACAUUUCCCAGAAUCCUCCUUGACACCUAGUCCCACCUAUCUUGCUUUCCUAUUGGCCAACAGUACUUUAUCAACCAAUGAGAGAAUCAUAUACACAGAAGGACCUCCCCCAUCAUGUAACAGAGCCUUUUAUUGUUGGUGGGCUUGAAUAUAACUGAGUAGCACUGAGUAUGCUUUAUUAGACACAGUUCAUGUGCCAUCCCACACCAGCUUGUCUCUCUGGCCUCUACAUAGGAUGCUCACCCAUUUUUCUCAUUUUACAUCUCUGUUGGACCUAGCAAGUGCCUCCUGCAUGCUGGCCUCUGGUCUUAGCACGUCACCCAUCUCCUCACACUUCCAGGUGUUUUUAAUAUUUCCCAGAGGUAUAGUUCUGGGCAUCAGAAUUCCAUAAAACCACAGAAGCUCAGUGCUGAUGGCAAGUAUGAGUGGGGAGUUAAUGCCAUCUUCUCCAUUGGCUACUGAGUGGGGACAGGAAGCCAGGAGGGACAUGUGGGCUUCACUCUACUAAUGAGAGACAAUGGGCACUUUGUCCAGAUAUGCAUCUUCUGUCUUUUUGCCAGCAGAACAUCCACUCUGUCUUGAUAGGAGCCAUUGCCUGGGCUUCCUUGCAAAGCUGGUGUCAGCUCAGUAACAGAUGCUCUUAGGCUUCAUUUCUCCCCUCCCUGCCUCAGUUUUAUUCCCACUCUUUUCUGGGUAAGGUGUUAGAACUUACACGUUACAUUAAACUCUGAGUUCUCAGAACACCUUGGCUAAGGUGCCAUGACUGAGUCAUGUUGAAGGUUGACUAUGGGUUGAAGGUUAAAGGUAGACAGUAAAAAGUGAUUGGUGGGUAUAUGAUAUUCUCUGGGAGGAGAUUUUCACAUUUGAUUUUGAGGAGGAUGAAGAGGAUCAGAAUUGGAGAGCUAAGUGAGGGUGAGGCAGGCAAUCGAGAGGACACCCACACACCUUCUGAGAUGGUGGCUAGAGGAGAUUUGAAGGACCAACAUGUGCAGCAGAGGUAAGGGUGUAGACACUGAGCACUUCCUAAUUUAGGUACUCUGGCCAUCCAGGCUCUGCCAUGUGAAAUGAGGUAGAAAGUUGCCUUUGCAGCUAAAGGUGGUGGUGUUAGUAAAUGAAAGGCUUGGGCCAGCUUGCUGCUGUGUAAAUUUUUUAUACACAGAUUUUUUACAGUCACAUUUCUGGCAGACAUGUAGGUGUGUUUCAACAGUGAACAGAACACCUUUUAGAGAAUAAAUCACCUGGUAGCAUUUAUUUGAAUGUCCCUUGCCCUAAAACAUUUUAACAACCCUGUCAUUUAUUUCUUCCAAAUCAUCUAUCAUUUAUCCUCUCCUGGCUGAGGCCACAUUUAUCCACAGGCCUGGCUAUGAUAAGCCAUCAGAGGUGACAGCACAGAGUUCUGGGACCAGAAGGGUCCAUACUGCCUUGUUUAAGCUGUUUUCCGUUGUUGAACAGGAGAUGCGUGUCACCAGAAUUCCGUGGAUCGUUAACAGGUGAUGGAGAAGUGAGUCUAGAAUUAGAGUGAAAGAUGUGACAGAUGAGAAAGAGGGAGCAGAGGAAGGAAGAGGAAAGACAGAGAAGAGAGGAGGGACAGACAGUGGAAAACGCAAGGAGUUCACAGAAGCAAGGAAGAGAGAAGAGAAAAGGGAAGAAAAAACAGAGAAGGAAGAAGACGGGACAAGAGUGGGGGAAGAAAAAGAUAGGAGGGAG